rnacentral:rRNA from 1 species
AUUGAACGCUGGCGGCAUGCCUUACACAUGCAGGUCGAACGGCAGCACGGGAGCUUGCUCCUGGUGGCGGGUGGCGAACGGGUGAGUAAUACAUCGGAACGUACCCAGGAGUGGGGGAUAACGUAGCGAAAGUUACGCUAAUAUAGCAUAUUCUGUGAGCAGGAAAGCGGGGGAUCGCAAGACCUCGCGCACUUGGAGCGGCCAACGUCGGAUGAGCUAGUUGGUGAGGUAAAAGCUCACAAAGGCGAAGAUCCGUAGCAGAUCUGAGAGGAUGAUCUGCCACACUGGGACUGAGACACGGCCCAGACUCCUACGGGAGGCAGGAGUGGGGAAUUUUGGACAAUGGGGGCAACCCUGAUCCAGCCAUGCCGCGUGAGUGAAGAAGGCCUUCGGGUUGUAAAGCUCUUUCGGCGGGGAAGAAAUGGCAACGGCUAAUAUCCGUUGUUGAUGACGGUACCCGCAUAAGAAGCACCGGCUAACUACGUGCCAGCCGCCGCCGUAAAAC